UACGAAGGGGGCUAGCGUUGCUCGGAAUGACUGGGCGUAAAGGGCGCGUAGGCGGUUCAUACAGUCAGAUGUGAAAUUCCUGGGCUCAACCUGGGGGCUGCAUUUGAUACGUGUGGACUAGAGUGGGGAAGAGGGUCGUGGAAUUCCCAGUGUAGAGGUGAAAUUCGUAGAUAUUGGGAAGAACACCGGUGGCGAAGGCGACUUACUGGACACAUAUUGACGCUGAGGUGCGAAAGCGUGGGGAGCAAACAGG
rnacentral:rRNA from 1 species